rnacentral:tRNA from 21 species
UGGGCGGACGUAGCCAAGUGGCUCAAGGCAGUG